GAUGAAGAACGCAGCGAAAUGCGAUACGUAAUGUGAAUUGCAGAAUUCAGUGAAUCAUCGAAUCUUUGAACGCAUAUUGCGCUCUCUGGUAUUCCGGAGAGCAUGCUUGUUUGAGUAUCAGUAAACACCUCAACUCCCUUUUCUUUUUUGAAAUUGGAGCUGGACUUGAGUGAUCCCAACGCUUUCUUCCAAGAAAGUGGCGGGUUGCUUGAAAUGCAGGUGCAGCUGAACUUUUCUCUGAGCUAUAAGCAUAUCUAUUUAGUCUGCCUAAAAAACAGAUUAUUACCUUUGCUGCAGCUAACAUAAAGGAGACUAGUUCUUGUGCUGACUGAUGCAGGAUUCACAGAGACAGCUUCGGCUGACUUUGUAAACUCGAUCUCAAAUCAAGUAAGGCUACCCGCUGAACUUAAGCAUAUCAAUAAGCGGAGGA
rnacentral:misc_RNA from 1 species